AUAACCGGCGAACGGGUGCGUAACACGUGAACAACCUGCCCUCGUGUGGGGGAUAGCCGGGCUAACGCCCGAGUAAUACCGCAUACGUUCUCUUGGGGGAGUCCCUGAGGGAGGAAAGCUCCGGCGCACGGGGAGGGGUUCGCGGCCUAUCAGCUAGUUGGCGGGGUAAUGGCCCACCAAGGCGACGACGGGUAGCUGGUCUGAGAGGAUGGCCAGCCACAUUGGGACUGAGAGACGGCCCAG
rnacentral:rRNA from 1 species